UACGGAGGGGCUAGCGUUGUUCGGAAUUACUGGGCGUAAAGGGUGCGUAGGCGGCUUUCUAAGUUGGAUGUGAAAACUCUGGGCUCAACCCAGAGACUGCAUCCAAAACUGGAGAGCUUGGGUUCUGGAGGGGAAAGCGGAAUUCCUGGUGUAGCGGUGAAAUGCGCAGAUAUCGGGAAGAACACCUAUGGCGAAGGCAGCUCUCUGGGACGGUACUGACGCUGAGACGCGAAAGCGUGGGGAGCGAACAGG
rnacentral:rRNA from 1 species